rnacentral:pre_miRNA from 1 species
AAAUGCGUAUCCAUGAAUCGACAUCUCCAUUCCUUAGGGAAAGCUCAAGGACCAGCUUUCUGUAAGGAAUGGAGAUGUUGAUUCAUGCGUCAGCUCGAGA